rnacentral:rRNA from 1 species
ACACGUAGGGGGCGAGCGUUGUUCGGAAUCAUUGGGCGUAAAGGGCGCGCAGGCGGCGAGGCAAGUCCGGUGUGAAAGUGCUCGGCUCAACCGAGUGAUGCGCUGGAAACUGCCCUGCUUGAGUACAGGAGGGGACGUCAGAAUUCCAGGUGUAGGGGUGAAAUCUGUAGAUAUCUGGAAGAACACCGGUGGCGAAGGCGGACGUCUGGCCAUGUACUGACGCUGAGGCGCGAAGGUGCGGGGAGCGAACAGGUUUAGAUACCCUGGUAGUCCGCACAGUAAACGAUGUGCACCAGGUGGCGGGGGGUAGCCCUCGGUACCGAAGCCAACGCAUUAAGUGCACCGCCUGGGGAGUAUGCUCGCAAGGGUGAAACUCAAAUGAAUUGACGGGG